CGGCUUUAAUGAGACUACGAAAUAAGAAAAACAAGUUUCUUCGUAAGUUCAAAAAAAAAUUCAUAAUAAUGUUUACUUCGGCCUGUAUAAAAAAUACUCCAAU